rnacentral:tRNA from 1 species
CAGCGCAAUGGAUAAGCGCGUUGGAAUUCUAAUCCAAAGGUCGUGGGUUCCAAUCCCACCUGGUUGG